rnacentral:rRNA from 1 species
UGGGGGAUAUUGCACAAUGGGCGAAAGCCUGAUGCAGCGACGCCGCGUGGGGGAUGAAGGCCUUCGGGUUGUAAACUUCUUUUGCUCUGAACAAGGCAUGCCUUUGGGGUGUGUUGAGUGUAGGGGUUGAUUAGCGCCGGCUAACUACGUGCCAGCAGCCGCGGUAAUACGUAGGGCGCGAGCGUUGUCCGGAAUUAUUGGGCGUAAAGGGCUUGUAGGUGGCUGGUUGCGUCUGUCGUGAAAGCUCAUGGCUUAACUGUGGGUUUGCGGUGGGUACGGGCUGGCUUGAGUGCAGUAGGGGAGGCUGGAAUUCCUGGUGUAGCGGUGAAUGCGCAGAUAUCAGGAGGAAUACCGGUGGCGAAGGCGGGUCUCUGGGCUGUUACUGACGCUGAGGAGCGAAAGCGUGGGGAGCGAACAGG